rnacentral:rRNA from 1 species
GACGAACGCUGGCGGCGUGCUUAGCACAUGCAAGUCGAACGGAAAGGCCCUGCUUUUGUGGGGUGCUCGAGUGGCGAACGGGUGAGUAACACGUGAGUAACCUGCCCUUGACUUUGGGAUAACUUCAGGAAACUGGGGCUAAUACCGGAUAGGAGCUCCUGCUGCAUGGUGGGGGUUGAAAAGUUUCGGCGGUUGGGGAUGGACUCGCGGCUUAUCAGCUUGUUGGUGGGGUAGUGGCUUACCAAGGCUUUGACGGGUAGCCGGCCUGAGAGGGUGACCGGCCACAUUGGGACUGAGAUACGGCCCAGACUCCUACGGGAGGCAGCAGUGGGGAAUAUUGCACAAUGGGCGGAAGCCUGAUGCAGCAACGCCGCGUGCGGGAUGACGGCCUUCGGGUUGUAAACCGCUUUCGCCUGUGACGAAGCGUGAGUGACGGUAAUGGGUAAAGAAGCACCGGCUAACUACGUGCCAGCAGCCGCGGUGAUACGUAGGGUGCGAGCGUUGUCCGGAUUUAUUGGGCGUAAAGGGCUCGUAGGUGGUUGAUCGCGUCGGAAGUGUAAUCUUGGGGCUUAACCCUGAGCGUGCUUUCGAUACGGGUUGACUUGAGGAAGGUAGGGGAGAAUGGAAUUCCUGGUGGAGCGGUGGAAUGCGCAGAUAUCAGGAGGAACACCAGUGGCGAAGGCGGUUCUCUGGGCCUUUCCUGACGCUGAGGAGCGAAAGCGUGGGGAGCGAACAGGCUUAGAUACCCUGGUAGUCCACGCUGUAAACGGUGGGUACUAGGUGUGGGGUCCAUUCCACGGGUUCCGUGCCGUAGCUAACGCUUUAAGUACCCCGCCUGGGGAGUACGGCCGCAAGGCUAAAACUCAAAGGAAUUGACGGGGCCCCGCACAAGCGGCGGAGCAUGCGGAUUAAUUCGAUGCAACGCGUAGAACCUUACCUGGGUUUGACAUGGAUCGGGAGCGCUCAGAGAUGGGUGUGCCUCUUUUGGGGUCGGUUCACAGGUGGUGCAUGGCUGUCGUCAGCUCGUGUCGUGAGAUGUUGGGUUAAGUCCCGCAACGAGCGCAACCCUUGUUCACUGUUGCCAGCACGUUAUGGUGGGGACUCAGUGGAGACCGCCGGGGUCAACUCGGAGGAAGGUGGGGAUGACGUCAAGUCAUCAUGCCCCUUAUGUCCAGGGCUUCACGCAUGCUACAAUGGCUGGUACAGAGAGUGGCGAGCCUGUGAGGGUGAGCGAAUCUCGGAAAGCCGGUCUCAGUUCGGAUUGGGGUCUGCAACUCGACCUCAUGAAGUCGGAGUCGCUAGUAAUCGCAGAUCAGCAACGCUGCGGUGAAUACGUUCCCGGG